AUGCACGCUGGCGGCGUGCCUCAUCCCUGCAAGUCGCGCGAACAGACGAGGAGCUUGCUCCUCUGACGUUAGCGGCGGACGGGUGAGUAACACGUGGAUAACCUACCUAUAAGACUGGGAUAACUUCGGGAAACCGGAGCUAAUACCGGAUAAUAUAUUGAACCGCAUGGUUCAAUAGUGAAAGACGGUUUUGCUGUCACUUAUAGAUGGAUCCGCGCCGCAUUAGCUAGUUGGUAAGGUAACGGCUUACCAAGGCAACGAUGCGUAGCCGACCUGAGAGGGUGAUCGGCCACACUGGAACUGAGACACGGUCCAGACUCCUACGGGAGGCAGCAGUAGGGAAUCUUCCGCAAUGGGCGAAAGCCUGACGGAGCAACGCCGCGUGAGUGAUGAAGGUCUUCGGAUCGUAAAACUCUGUUAUUAGGGAAGAACAAAUGUGUAAGUAACUAUGCACGUCUUGACGGUACCUAAUCAGAAAGCCACGGCUAACUACGU
rnacentral:rRNA from 1 species